rnacentral:lncRNA from 1 species
CUGGCUGGGCUUCUCACAGCCUCGUGUGCUAAUGGGAGCUGGCAGGCGGAUGUCCUCAGAGAUGCAAAUCCAGCGCGCUCUGGAAAGGAGCAUGCACGCCACCGUCUCCUGCUUCUGGCUGUGACGUGUGGCUUUGUGAGUGCCUCGCUGAGAGAGGGUGAGGAAAACUGGGCAGCCUAUGGCAGUGGAGCAGGUCGCUGUGCCAGAACUGCAAAAAAGACCGUCUACCAGGCGUGGGAAACGAAGCGAGCAGCUUGUGGUUAAGCUGGGCAGGAGUCCCUUGAUUCGCCUUCGUACCGAGCGCGAGCUCACCUUUGCGUUUUCUUGCGUUCCGUUCAUUCCUUCAUUUGUUUGUCUUAUUUCUAGGCUUAUUUCACGGGGUUCAAGGGGGCGUGCAUUGCAGUUGAAAACACAAUUAGUUGUAGAUUUUAACAAAACCUCAAAGAUAAAAACUGAUUAAAAUACAUGGAAUGAUUAAAAGCCCGUAAAACAUGAAUAACCCUCUUAACUCAUUCUGUGUGAGGUUUUUGGUUUCUCUGUUUUUGAAGGGCGGUGAGGUUAAAGGGACAGGUUUCCUAACUGUUUUUGUGUUAGCCGGAAGCCGGCCCUGCUGACGGGGCACAUUCGCCCGCCUGUCAGUGGACAGGAAAAGUUUGGUGCUUCGUUUCAUUUCAGCAAAAUGAAAUGAAACAAACUGGUUCAGUUUGGGGUGCACGAACCAAACCAGUUCGUCUUAUUUCCCCCUGGUUCAAACUUCGGCUCAUGCUCAUCUCUGGUCCCUGAUGUCCUCUUGUGAUUUGGUCCCAGUGUGCCUUUUCCAUGCCCAGCUUCCUUCACCUCUUUGUCCACAGUGUGGAAAGUUUCGGAGGCUGCUUUCCCCAGAAAGGCCUUGGAAAACCCACCCCUUCCUUCUCCUUCCCCACAGGGAGUUCAGCGGGCAGUGGAGCAGUUUGCCGUGCCCAAGGAGCGAAUCCUCCAGGAUCUGAGCAAUAUCAGCUGGAGUAUCGGAAGCACCAUCCACCUGGUGCUCAAGGGGACGGUGUAUUCAGCCAUGGCUGCCACGAAGGCUCGGGUGCAAGACCUACAGAACUCCUGCUCUCAUUUACGGACACUCAACUCAACGGUCCAGAGCCUGAUCCGGCACCAGGAAGAGCUGGAAGCAAUCCUGAAAGACCGGAAGGGCAGCAUCGUUUCCCUUCUGGAGGACCCGCAGUGUACCUACUGCAUUAGUGCCCUGGGCAGAGCACAGAACUUGGAGUUGGGGGUGAACUACUGGAUGGUGAGUUCCUCCGGAGUGGGUGCAGGACCCCCAACGUGGGGAGACUGGCUCCAUCACAGAGCAUCCUUAUAAAGGGCAGGCUAUGGUC